rnacentral:lncRNA from 1 species
UUAAAUUGGUAUUACUAAUAGCUUUCUUUCAGUUUUCUCUUCAAUUACAGCUUGUGGAAUUUGAGGAGAAUCUGUGCACCAGCAUCCGACUCCUUGAUGUUGCUCUGAUCAUAUUGUGUAAAUAUAUUUCUAAUAAAGCAAUCGCCCGAUGGUGUACAUAUUAGAAAUAACAAGAUGUAAUCAUCAAGUGUGAGAGAUGGCAACAUCAUGAUGGGAUGGUAUGUACUGUUGUGCUCAUCAAUAGGUUAGUCUUUCAUUCUCUUGCAGCCAGUAUGUUUUUUGUUAUGCAAACAAUUAGGAAAUAUCUAAUUUCUAUGGUUGGCAGGGGGAGCUCAAGGUCAUGGCGGGGCUUCGAUUUUUCUUGUAGAAAAGAGAGACAGAGGAGGAUCCAGGGAGGAGGAGAGGUAGGAGAAGAAGGACGGGGAAGUAGGAAGGGUGCAGUAGGGGUGAGUGUGCUUCCGCCUGCCAUGCCCAAGGCUUGAUCUGCCGCCGCCUCUCCUCUACCCAUGCUGUCUGUGACAUGUCAGAUCCCCAGCUGCCGGCACUUCUCCUCUGCCCAUGGGCCAUGGCUGUUCUGAUGCAUCAAAUCCGUAAGCUUCCAGUCGCAUCUCCAUCUCUUGCAGAUUGAUUUACAAUUGGGACCUCUAAUGAUGGUGCCGUCCCUAACAAAGACUGCAGAUCGAUCUGCUGUAACAUUGGCUGGGUGUUCUCUUCUCGACUCUACCAACACUCUGGAGUUACAAGCAAUUACAUCAG